AUAUAGCUCAGUUGGCAGAGUGCUUGCCUUGUACCCAUGAUGCCUUGGGUUUGAUUCCCAGUAU
rnacentral:tRNA from 1 species